rnacentral:miRNA from 1 species
UGAGAUCACGCGUAUAUUCGCC